rnacentral:rRNA from 1 species
UACGUAGGGUGCUAGCGUUGUCCGGAUUUAUUGGGCGUAAAGGGCGCGUAGGCGGCCGUUCAAGUCGGGGGUGAAAGCCUGUGGCUCAACCACAGAAUUGCCUUCGAUACUGGACGGCUCGAGACCGGAAGAGGUCAGUGGAACUGCGAGUGUAGAGGUGAAAUUCGUAGAUAUUCGCAAGAACACCAGUGGCGAAGGCGGCUGACUGGUCCGGUUCUGACGCUGAGGCGCGAAAGCGUGGGGAGCAAACAGG